rnacentral:lncRNA from 13 species
AUUUUUCAUGACAUUCUGCACUCUGGUUUUCUUCUCAUAAAGUAUCUUGGCAAUCUUUCUCAGUAUAUAGUGAUUUUUUCAUUUUUUUAAAAAUCUUUAUACUUCAACAUCUGGCACAUGGUAAGCAAAUUAUAAAUACUAAGUGAAUGAAAUAUUAACUUAAUAAAAAGGAAACUUUUGUGCUGCUAUUGGAAAUUAGCUCUCCUCUGUGUAUUUCAACAUGUUGCAUAUAUGCAAUGAUCUAAAAACAUAGAAAUCUGACUUGUCUUACUCUUUCCUAUCCACUAGAGGGAGACAUCAACCUGUUGUGGAAAAGAACGAUUAAUUGAAGUUUUUAACCAGAAACUGAACCAACUCUGUAGCUGGUGAUCCUUGUUAGAAUUUGAGCCCUUAACUCUAUCCAGGACUAGAGGUUGCAGGGACAAUAAAGGGAGUUAAAUGCAGAAGGAGAAUGCACAUGGAUUAGGGAGCCAGAACACAGGGAAUAUUACACUGGCUGGCCUCUUGUUAAUCUUAUUCUGAGCCAGAAAAGUUUCUUUCCUACAGAAAAUUUUGCCCCACUCUUUCCCCCUGAUCUUUCCAAGUCGAAGCCUUCAGCAAAUAUUUGUUGAAUGCCUGGAUUAUGCUAGGUGGGCGUUAUGGACCACGGA